rnacentral:tRNA from 1 species
CAUUAAGAAACUAUUAACAGUAUUGGUCUCUUAAACCAAAAAAUGGUAAAUUAAAAUAUACCCUUAAUGA